GAUGAACGCUGGCGGCGUGCCUAAUACAUGCAAGUCGAGCGAACAGACGAGGAGCUUGCUCCUUUGACGUUAGCGGCGGACGGGUGAGUAACACGUAGGUAACCUACCUAUAAGACUGGGAUAACUUCGGGAAACCGGAGCUAAUACCGGAUAAUAUUUCGAACCGCAUGGUUCGAUAGUGAAAGAUGGCUUUGCUAUCACUUAUAGAUGGACCUGCGCCGUAUUAGCUAGUUGGUAAGGUAACGGCUUACCAAGGCAACGAUACGUAGCCGACCUGAGAGGGUGAUCGGCCACACUGGAACUGAGACACGGUCCAGACUCCUGCGGGAGGCAGCAGUAGGGAAUCUGCCGCAAUGGGCGAAAGCCUGACGGAGCAACGCCGCGUGAGUGAUGAAGGUCUUCGGAUCGUAAAACUCUGUUAUUAGGGAAGAACAAACGUGUAAGUAACUGUGCACGUCGUGACGGUACCUAAUCAGAAAGCCACGGCUAACUACGUG
rnacentral:rRNA from 1 species